AGCAAUCUGCCUUGGAGUGGGGAAUAACGGCUGGAAACAGCCGCUAAUACCGCAUGAUACAGUUGGGAGGCAUCUCUCUGACUGUCAAAGAUUUAUCGCUCUGAGAUGAGCUCGCGUCUGAUUAGCUGGUUGGCGGGGUAACGGCCCACCAAGGCGACGAUCAGUAGCCGGACUGAGAGGUUGGCCGGCCACAUUGGGACUGAGACACGGCCCAGACUCCUACGGGAGGCAGCAG
rnacentral:rRNA from 1 species